UUUCAUAUUAUAUAUACUAAUACUACAUAGAAGAAAUAACAAAUUCAUCAUAACCAUGGAUCACUUAAGCAAUCAACAAGAAACCCAUGGUGAGUUUUUCUUAUAAGUUUAUGAAGUUCUUAAUUUUUCCUCACCAAUUGAUACAAAUGAAGAUGAAUUGAACAAGCUUAAUUGUAUGCUCAAUGAUCAUUUUAUUUGUUUUUCAAUAUGUCUUAUAUAGUAUAUAAUAAUAAACCAUGAAAUUAAUGAUAUGAAUAUGAUAAAGUAUCAUAUUUGAUUAUUUUCCCCUCAAUAGGUAUUGCAUAUCCUCAAGCUUCAUAUGUUACUGCCCCACCAACUGUGGGGUAUCCUACCAAGAAUGAUGAUCCUGUAGGGUACCCCAAAGAAAGUGUUCCUCAUCAAACCAUAUUCUCAAACAGGGUAAAAGGUGGCCUCUGGAAGGGAUGGUAAGUUCAUAAAUCAUAACUAAAACAUAAAAUGUUGUUUCUAUUUUAUUUCACUAAUUCUGAUUUGUUUCUUUGUUUUUAUUUUUUCAGUUGUGCUACUUUCUGCUGUUGUUGUUUUCUACAAUGUUGUUACAUUGAAGACAAAAAUAUAUGCGGACUUGUCUUCAAGUGGUGUUGUACUUUUCCAAUGUAUUCAUAGCAUUCUUAAAAGCAUUGUGGUGAUACUAACAUUGAGUCACUUAUUCAACAAAAUAGCACAAUGAAUCAAGAUAUAUACACCAUUGGUGUAUCAUUUACCAUUCAUUUGGAUUACUCUUUUUUUGUUGAAGAAUCAACAAUGAUUGAAAAUGAAUGGCAGUGUAAAAAACUCUUACACAUUAUCGACAUAUACAUAUUUUUCUCAUAAAACAAUAUGCUCAUGUGCAUCCAAACUCCUAAGUUUGUGUGAACAUAAUCAAUAGUAGUGAAGUUCUAUUUAUAUAUAGAACCUAAACUUUGUUAAUCUAACUGAUCUAUUGAUAUUAGAAGCAAAUAAGUAACUGAAAUAACUAACUAAUGGGUAAAUAUAAUUAAGCACAAAUAUGAUGAAAUUAGUUUGAACUUUCCUUGGUGUUCACCCCUAAUGUGGUACAACUCUAUCAACUAAGUUGUUUCUGUUGUAAUAUUAAUGUUUCUAAUAGAUGUUUUAGGCUUAUGAAUUUUUAAUAAAUGAUUAAUUAAGUAAAACAUCAUUUUAUUGUAAAAAUUGUUUUGAUUCAACAGGGAGAAUAAUUGUCUUUACCUUAACCAUAUUUUGAGUGUUGCCACAAUAGUUCACACAUUCACACAUGAAAAUCUUAAGGUUGGCCCAUUAAUAUUAAGUUUAUUGUUAAAAAGACUAAUACGAUGACUGACAUUAAGGAUAAGCUUGUACUCAUCAAAAAUGUUGAAGACCCGACCAAUGAUUUCACCUGAUUGUGAACAAUAUCUUAACCUAGAUCUCACUAUUUUAUUUUAGUUUCUUUGUAUUUGGUUAGUUUCCAUAUGUACAAAAAAACACUGCCUUGAUUACUCUCAUUUAUAAAAUAACAAAUGUGAUUCUUAAUUUCUUUUUUAAUGUUCAAAUUUCAACUUUAUAAACUAAAUAAAUAUGCACAUAUUUCAAAAUUAUAU
rnacentral:lncRNA from 1 species